UGCAUGUAUGAGUAGCUACUUCUACACAUGGAGCUGCUCUGUCUGGAAUAUUAAUAGCAUGUUUCAUUUUCAAUAAUAUUUCCCAAUCAACUCUAUAAUUGUAUCUAGCUAUAUAGGUUAACGUAUUUCUUUUCCAUUGCUUCUCUUUUCCCUUUUCUUUUCUUCCUCUUUGGUUCCUGAAUUUGGUCACAUCUAUGACAUUUAAGAUUCCUCUUGCAUUUAGAAAGUAUGUAGAUAUAAAACAUUUAAAGUAAUAGUAAAAAGAAAUACUAUAUAUAGCAAAAGAAUAAAUUAAAGCAUGAGGCAGAGGAGAAGCCUUCUCCUAUUCAUCUAUGACUUAAUUUAUAAAUUUAGGAAUUCUAAUUUAUUAAAAUAGUCACGUACUUGAAAUUUUGUAAUUCAUAAUAUUAU
rnacentral:lncRNA from 1 species